UUUGGGAAAAUCUGGUCCCACCCAUCAGUGCUGAGAAGCCCCAGGCCAAACAAUCCAAGUGGGAUCACAGCCCCAACCAUCACUAAACAUACUGCCUAAAGACCCCCAAGGCACACAGCCCCUCUCAUCUCACCCAGAGACAAAGCCCCACCCACCAGAGGGAUAGGAAUCAGCCCCACCUACCAGUGGGCAGGCACCAGUCCUUCCCCUGAGGAAGCCUACAGCAAGCCCCCACACCAACUUCAGCCACAAAGGGGGCAGACAUCAGAAGUAAGAGAGACUACAAUUCUAUGGUCUGCAAAAAGGAGAUCACACAAAAAACCUAUAAAAAUGAAAAGGCAGAGAACUAUAACUCAGAUAAGGGAGCAAGAAAAAAAACUCAGAAAAACAGCUAAGUGAGCUGGAGAUUACCAGUCAGGAAAAAGACUUUAGACUGAUGAUGCUGAAGAUGAUGAAAAACACUGGAAAUAAACUGGAGGCAAAGACUGAUAAUUUACAGCAAACACUGAGCAAAGAAAUAUAAGAUUUAAAACUUAAGCAGGCAGAGAUGCAAAAUACAAUAACUAAAAUAAAAAUUCAUUAGAAGCAACCAACAGCAGAAUAUAGAAGACAGAAGAACGAAUAAGUGAGGUGGAGGACAGACUAGUGGAAAUCACUGAUGUGGAACAGAAAAGAGAAAAAAGAUUGAAAAGAACGAAGACAGUCUAAGAGAACUCUGAGACAAUGUUAAAUGCACUAACAUCCGUAAUAUAGGGGUGCCAGAAGGAGAAGAGAGAGAGAAAGGGAUAGAAAAAAUAUUUGAAGAGCUAGUAGCCGAAAAUUUCCCUAACAUGGGAAAGGAACCACUCACUCAAAUCCAGAAAGCACAACAAGUACCAUAUAAAAUAAACCCAAGGAGGAAUACCCUGAGACAAAUAUUAAUCAAACUGACCAAAAUUAAAGACAAAGAGAACAUAUUGAAAGCAGCUAGGGAAAAGAAACAAAUAAGGGAACCCCAAGAAGGUUGUUGGCAGAUAUUUCAGAAGAAAAUCUGCAGGCUAGAAGGGAGUGGCACAAUAUACUUAAAAUGGUGAAUGAAAGGAAAAAACCUCCAACCAAGAUUACCCAGCAAGGCUCUCAUUCAGAUUUGAAGGAGAAAUCAAAAGCUUUACAGAUAAGCAAAAGCUAAGAGAAGUGAGCAACACUAAACCAGCUUUACAACAAAUACUAAAGGAAAUUCUCUAGGCAGAAAAGAAAAGGCUACAACUAGAAACAAAAAUAACCAAAAGACAAGGCUCACCAUAAAGGUAUAUAUACAGUAAAGAUACGAAAUCAUCCAUGCACAAUUAUACCACCACAAUCAGAAAUCAUGAGAAGAGGUGGGUACAAAUGCUGGACAAUGGAGAUGAACUAGCAAUUAAGAGAACAGCAACUUAAAACAAUCUCAUAUAUAUAUAUAGACUUAUAUCAAAACUUCAGAAUAACUGCAAACCAAAAAUCUACAGUUGAUACACACACAAAUAAGAAAAAUCA
rnacentral:lncRNA from 1 species